GUACUAGGCCACACCAGUGUGAUCCACACUCUAGUAGGGCACUCAGCUGUUGAUCUAACAGGCAUCUUGUACCAAAAAAGUGAGAACUUGGGACCCAGGAGGACCAGGCACGAUGGGGCCUACUGACAUUCCGGCGGUAGUAUUUUGUGACUGCGGGAAUCCCAUUUCGAAGCCCACUUCACAGUGAUUUUGUUUCCUGUGUUGCUGUCUGGAGCAGGAUCCUGGGGGGAUCCCACCUUAGAAGGUCCAAGGGGACAGGCAACUUUGAGUCAAUAUGGACGACAAACUUGACAUGACAGAAAUUGAAAAAUUUGACAGAUCAAAACUGAAUAAAAUUAUUACCACAGGAAAAAAUACACUUCCAUCGAAGGAAAAGGAGUUCGCAAAAGAAAACAUAAAAUGAGGAAUACGCUUGAAGAAUAAACGUCAACAUUGCCAACAA